CAAUAGCGUAUAUUAAAGUUGUUGCGGUAAAAAAGCGCGUAGUUGGAUUUCUACCGAAGAUAGCCGGUCGGGUCUUCGACCUUGUAUCUGGUUUUGUCUUUGGUAUCCUCAUAGGGAACGUUUCUGCGCUUUAUUGCGUGGUGCGGUAUCUAUGACUUUUACUUUGAGGAAAUUAGAGUGUUCACGGCAGGCAAACGCCUUGAAUAUAUUAGCAUGGAAUAAUAACAUAGGAUCUUCGUCCUAUUUUGUUGGUUUCUAGGGCUAAGAUAAUGAUUAAUAGGGAUAAUUGGGGGCAUCUGUAUCAACGCGUCAGAGGUGGAAUUCUUGGAUUGCGUUGCGACAAACUACUGCGAAAGCAUUUGCCAAGGAUGUUUUCAUUGA
rnacentral:rRNA from 1 species